rnacentral:rRNA from 1 species
UACGUAGGUGGCAAGCGUUGUCCGGAUUUAUUGGGUUUAAAGGGUGCGUAGGCGGCUUAUUAAGUCAGUGGUGAAAUACUCUAGCUCAACUAGAGGGGUGCCAUUGAUACUGAUGAGCUUGAGUACAGAUGAGGUAGGCGGAAUUGACGGUGUAGCGGUGAAAUGCAUAGAUAUCGUCAAGAACACCUAUAGCGAAGGCAGCUUACUGGGCUGUAACUGACGCUGAGGCACGAAAAGUGUGGGGAGUCAAACAGGG